UCGCUGGUGGUCCAGUGGUUAAGACUUUGCCUUCCAAUGCAGAGGUGCAGGUUCAAUUCCUGGCCAGGGAA
rnacentral:tRNA from 1 species